rnacentral:rRNA from 1 species
UACGUAGGGUGCAAGCGUUGUCCGGAAUCACUGGGCUUAAAGGGCGCGUAGGCGGUCGACCAAGUCCGGGGUGAAAUCUUUCGGCUUAACCGGAAAAGUGCCUUGGAUACUGGUCGGCUGGAGGGAGGUAGGGGCAGGUGGAACUUCCAGUGGAGCGGUGAAAUGCGUUGAUAUUGGAAGGAACGCCGGUGGCGAAAGCGACCUGCUGGACCUCUUCUGACGCUGAGGCGCGAAAAGCUAGGGGAGCAAACGGGG